CACACCGCCCGUCACACCACGAAAGCUCACUGUACCAGAAGUCACCAUUACCAACCCGCAAGGGAGGGAGGUGCCCAAGGUAUGAUGGGUGAUUGGGGUG
rnacentral:rRNA from 1 species